CCUACGGGAGGCUGCAGUAAGGAAUCUUCGGCAAUGCGCGCAAGCGUGACCGAGCGACGCCGCGUGGAGGAUGAAGUCCUUCGGGAUGUAAACUCCUGUCAGGGGUUACCAAGUUCUGAGGAGCCCCAGAGGAAGUGGCGGCUAACUCUGUGCCAGCAGCCGCGGUAAGACAGAGGCCACAAGCGUUAGGCGGAAUCACUGGGCUUAAAGCGUGUGUAGGCGGAUCGUUAAGUGCUUUGUGAAAUCCCUCGGCUCAACCGGGGAACUGCUUGGCAUACUGGCGAUCUUGAGCCAUCUAGGGGCGACUGGAACAGACGGUGGAGCGGUGAAAUGCGUAGAUAUCGUCUGGAACGCCAAAGGUGAAAACAGGUCGCUGGGGAUGAGCUGACGCUGAGACACGAAAGCCAGGGGAGCAAACGGGAUUAGAUACCCCUGUAGUC
rnacentral:rRNA from 1 species